GGACAAAGGGCUGAAGUGUGAGGACAAGGAGUUUGAGUAUGAGGUCGUAGAGCAGGAGGACGUUGAGCCACGUUCCUCGGAGGAAGAAAAGUCAGAGGGGAAUGGGUGCAUUAAGCAUUGUGUGACAACCCAUUGUGAAGAAAAGGAGCUGCACUCUCCUUUAAAAAGGAAGUCGAUUGAAUCCAGGAAGCAUGGUGCCUGUGAUGGAAAGAAGAAACCCAGGGAGGAGAAUGUGUCAGAGAUUGAUGUCUGCAAAGCUGAUGGGGAGGGCCAUGUCAAAGAUGAGGUGAGCUGUGGUUCUGGGUUGAACAACAGCUGAGGAAUAUAGAUGCAUUGAACUUGGUGUGAGCACCUGCAGUGGACCAAAG